GAGGGUAUAGCUUGGUGGCAGAGCACAUGCUUAACAUACAUGAGGUCCUGAGUUCAAUCCCCAGUACCUCCA
rfam:Camelus ferus unplaced genomic scaffold scaffold1508, whole genome shotgun sequence.